UGAAGAGGAGGAACAUCUGUGAGGCAACUAAAGAAGUCUGUCCAACACGGAGGUUCUCAGUCAGUCGUUCUGAAAUAAAUUAAGUUGGAGUAACAUGUUGGUGUUGAUCCUGAUCUACUCAAACUAGCAGGAGAAUUAUAUAAAACAUACUCUGCAGCUGUCCAGAACUUUAAAGCCCUGCCUCUAACAUGCACAAAUCUCCUCGUUUCAGACUCUUAAAACCGUGGCUGAGGGAUUUCAAGAUUUUUAAUUCUUACCGAGAAAAAGCUAAAAUGGUAAAUUUGAAAACAUACAGUGUUAAAAAAAAAAAAAGCCUUAAAAUUUGUAUUGUAAGCCUUCAACUAUUCUUUUAAAAGAUUUCAACAAGAGACAAAAGCUGCUUUAUCUUUCAAAGCUCCAAGCAAAUGUUAGGGUCCUAUCCCAUCUCUUUUCCAAUUACUUUUCUUCCAUAUUGUCCUCAAGCCUGAAUUAGAGAUCAAAGACUUGCUGUACUGGUGCACCAUAUUCCCAUAGCUCUGUGCAAGUAUACAGAUGCAUGCAAAGUUAACUGGAGUCUCAUUGCUUUCUCACAGACAACAGUGCUACAGUCACCUUUCAGCAACUUAAAAUAACGGCCAAAUGUUCUUGCAGCAGUCCAGUGCUAACAUUUCUGGAGUAAAUACUUUUAAAAUGUUAACAUUACCAAAAUACAGUCUGAACUUAGAACAGUUUUUAGUGGAGAAUGAAGUUGGUCACAUAAUCAAUUCUGCAGAUGCAGCGUUGCCUGCAUUUUAUUGACACAUUAGACACCAAACAGAUCAAAACCAAAUUUAAAUAUAAUUAAUUUAAAAUUAAUGCAGAAAUAAGUUAUCAGUAGCUCAUACUUACUCAUCAAGUCUUUAAACAUAGUUUUCUCAUGUGUUAGAAGGUGAUCAAUAAUGGAUCUCCAACUGGAUAAGACAUAGAAGGAACUGGAUAAGUAAAAGUUCAACAAUAUAAAGGACAUGACAGAUAACCAGAGAAAGCCUUGGUGUAGAAUUCACAUAAAAAGAUAUUGGACAAACAAUUCAUACUAGGCAACAGUUUCCAACACGAAUUCACUAUGCAGAACCUUAUCCAGUUUACACAUACUGAAUUCUAUGUCCUUCAACUCCAUUAUAUGCCAUUUCCAAACACUAAUGGCAGUUGUUAGCAAGAGAGAGGUUUAUUCUUCUGUGCCAUAAAGAUAACUUAAAUUUCUAUAAUUGAGUUGAGUUUGUUGAGAUCUGUUUUUAACAUUACUACAUUCUGUGAGCAAGUACUACAGAGAACAUUCAAUAUUAGUCUCUAAGUCUUUCUUUGCAAUCAUCAAAUAAACUCUUGGAGUGCUACCA